ACAGCGCGCGUCCAAGUGGAGAACAAAGUGACCCCCAGAACUUCUCCAACUCCUCCCGGCGUUCCCGCGAGGGCCACGCGCCGAGGGUAGCGGAGGGCGGCGCGCGACCGGCCCCACCGAGCCCGGCGCGCGACCCGAGGGCUCUGUGUAUGAAUGACAAGGAUACCUUCAGCCAGCUCAUUCUGGAUGAAUGAAUGAUUACACUAAGUGUCCUCCACAUUCCUCUGUGGGCUCACUUCAUGGACUCACUUUGCGUGCUUGUUAAAUGUGCUGUGUUGCUCCCAAGACCAUGUAAAGCCUACUGACCACUAACCUCCCUCACAGCAGAAACUAGACGUCAGGUUAAAAUGGGCAACUCCGACAGUCAGUACACCCUUCAAGGAUCUAAAAAUCAUAGCAAUACUAUUACUGGUGCUAAGCAAAUUCCUUGCUCCCUGAAAAUACGUGGCAUUCAUGCAAAAGAGGAAAAGUCAUUGCAUGGAUGGGGUCACGGAAGCAACGGAGCA
rnacentral:lncRNA from 1 species